GGUUAAGAUACAAAAUUUUGAAUAGAAGAAUUGGCUUCCUUUCACUUCAUGAUUAUGAACAGAUUCUCAGUUCAAUUGAAAAUGGUACAUAUAUGCUGUGAAUGACAGUGAUUCAACCAAUUCAUUCAAACGGCUGAUUCAUUCAGGAACAAAACAACUGCAAAAGCAACAAAACAACAUUAAACUUGUAUACAAUUAUUAUCACAUUUGUUAUGCUGAUAUCUGGGGAAAAAACGGCACUCUUUGUGUAAUAUACUGUAUAUUAAGUUAACUACAUUAAAUAUAAAUAUAAAAAGCAUACAGAAAAAAAACAUACAGAAAAAAAAGCCUGCCGGCUGAUUUGGCCCUUUGCCCUGUUUCUUUUAUUUUUUUAAUUCGAUAAUAAAUCGAUAAUAAAUCAUAAAUUGGUUAGUCUUGACUGUUAGCGCUGCGCUAUAGGAAUUGGCUCACAUGUUUCCUGCGCUUUUUUCAAAUGAUUCUGAACAGAACUGAUGCGUGGGACUCGAUGACAGAGAGAAAGCGGACAGAAGAAGCAGUGAAAUGUACCAACAUCACUGACCUGUUCAGGGAUUCAAGUGCAGCAGUUCCCAGGAUACCUUUUGCUGCACCUGAAAGUUCCCGUUACCUGAAACAAAUUGCCUGAAGAAAUCUGCCCUGCUUCUGGUCCUAAAAAUGCAAAGGAGAUGCAGAAACUGGCACGCUAAAUGAACAAUACUCUCAUGUUUCUACUCUUUAAAAAAAAAAAACACAGCUUAAGUCAUGAGAAAUAAAUAAAUAAAAGAUGAGAAAGUAACUUUGUAG
ensembl:lncRNA